rnacentral:rRNA from 1 species
UACGGAGGGUGCAAGCGUUAUCCGGAUUCAUUGGGCUUAAAGGGUGCGUAGGCGGGCAGGUAAGUCAGUGGUGAAAUCUCCAAGCUUAACUUGGAAACUGCCGUUGAUACUAUCUGUCUUGAAUAUUGUGGAGGUGAGCGGAAUAUGUCAUGUAGCGGUGAAAUGCGUAGAUAUGACAUAGAACACCAAUUGCGAAGGCAGCUCACUGCACAGCCAUUGACGCUGAGGCACGAAAGCGUGGGGAUCAAACAGG